GACGAACGCUGGCGGCGUGCCUAAUACAUGCAAGUAGAACGCUGAAGCGAGGAGCUUGCUCUUCUUGGAUGAGUUGCGAACGGGUGAGUAACGCGUAGGUAACCUGCCUUGUAGCGGGGGAUAACUAUUGGAAACGAUAGCUAAUACCGCAUAACAAUGGAUGACACAUGUCAUUUAUUUGAAAGGGGCAAUUGCUCCACUACAAGAUGGACCUGCGUUGUAUUAGCUAGUAGGUGAGGUAACGGCUCACCUAGGCGACGAUACAUAGCCGACCUGAGAGGGUGAUCGGCCACACUGGGACUGAGACACGGCCCAGACUCCUACGGGAGGCAGCAGUAGGGAAUCUUCGGCAAUAGGGGCAACCCUGACCGAGCAACGCCGCGUGAGUGAAGAAGGUUUUCGGAUCGUAAAGCUCUGUUGUAAGUCAAGAACGAGUGUGAGAGUGGAAAGUUCACACUGUGACGGUAGCUUACCAGAAAGGGACGGCUAACUACGUG
rnacentral:rRNA from 1 species